rnacentral:rRNA from 1 species
UACGAAGGGGGCUAUCGUUGCUCGGAGUGACUGGGCGUAAAGGGCGCGUAGGCGGUUUGUACAGUCAGGCGUGAAAUUCCUGGGCUCAACCUGGGGGCUGCGUUUGAUACGUAUGAGCUUGAGUUCGGAAGAGGGUCGUGGAAUUCCCAGUGUAGAGGUGAAAUUCGUAGAUAUUGGGAAGAACACCGGUGGCGAAGGCGGCGACCUGGUCCGAUACUGACGCUGAGGCGCGAAAGCGUGGGGAGAAAACAGG